GUUUUAAUAGUUUAAGAAAAAACUUUGGUCUUGUAAAUCAAAAUUAAGGAAUCAACCUUUUAAAACU
rnacentral:tRNA from 1 species